rnacentral:rRNA from 1 species
ACAAUGAAGAGUUUGAUCCUGGCUCAGGAUGAACGCUAGCUACAGGCUUAACACAUGCAAGUCGAGGGGCAGCAUGUUGGUUGCUUGCAACCAAUGAUGGCGACCGGCGCACGGGUGCGUAACGCGUAUCGAACCUGCCCUAUACUCAGGGAUAGCCUUGCGAAAGUAAGAUUAAUACCUGAUGUUGUUAUUUGUUCGCAUGAUUAUUUAACAAAAGAUUUAUUGGUAUAGGAUGGCGAUGCGUGGCAUUAGGUAGUAGGCGGGGUAACGGCCCACCUAGCCGACGAUGCCUAGGGGUUCUGAGAGGAAGGUCCCCCACACUGUAACUGAGACUCGGUCCAGAAUCCUACGGGAGGCAGCAGUGAGGAAUAUUGGUCAAUGGUCGAGAGACUGAACCAGCCAAGUAGCGUGCAGGAUGACGGCCCUCUGGGUUGUAAACUGCUUUUAGUUGGGAAUAAAAAGAGGGACGUGUCCCUUAUUGUAUGUACCAUCAGAAAAAGGACCGGCUAAUUCCGUGCCAGCAGCCGCGGUAAUACGGAAGGUCCGGGCGUUAUCCGGAUUUAUUGGGUUUAAAGGGAGCGUAGGCGGGAUAAUAAGUCAGUUGUGAAAGUUUGAGGCUCAACCUUAAAAUUGCAGUUGAAACUGUUAUUCUUGAGUGCACGCAGGGGUGCUGGAAUUCAUGGUGUAGCGGUGAAAUGCUUAGAUAUCAUGAAGAACUCCGUUGGCGAAGGCAUGUGCCCGGAGUGCUACUGACGCUGAGGCUCGAAAGUGCGGGUAUCAAACAGGAUUAGAUACCCUGGUAGUCCGCACAGUAAACGAUGGAUACCCGCGGUCCGCGAUAUAAUGUGGGUCGCCAAGCGAAAGCGUUAAGUAUCCCACCUGGGGAGUACGCCGGCAACGGUGAAACUCAAAGGAAUUGACGGAGAUCGGAAG